GUGCCAGCCGCCGCGGUAAUACAGAGGUGGCAAGCGUUGUUCGGAAUUACUGGGCGUAAAGGGCGCGUAGGCGGCCUCUUUAGUCAGACGUGAAAUCCCCCGGCUUAACCUGGGAACUGCGUCUGAUACUGGGAGGCUAGAGUUCGGGAGAGGGAUGUAGAAUUCCAGGUGUAGCGGUGAAAUGCGUAGAUAUCUGGAGGAAUACCGGUGGCGAAGGCGGCAUCCUGGACCGAAACUGACGCUGAUGCGCGAAAGCUAGGGGAGCAAACGGGAUUAGAAACCCUAGUAGUCC
rnacentral:rRNA from 1 species